GGCGGAAGGUCGCCGGAAGGGGCGCCGAGCACCAGUCGCGGGCCGAGCGCGCGGGGAUUCUGCGCCUCACUAAACUGAAAAUCGAAAACGAUCCUUCCAAAGGGGAGGAUCAAGGGCAUUCGAUUCUGCCCUAAAGUUUCCUGGAAUGAUGCUGAAUGCACACUGUGGUACAGCAGCUUCAGUCCCCCUUAACCGGAACAGGCAUGAUUCCUGCUUUGGAUCCAGAGCUAAGAAAUAAACGACUUCAAGAAUCUUAUCUCUGGAGAGAUCACAGUCCAUCUUCCUUCAACUGGGAAUUUGCAAAAGGGAGCCUGAGACAUCACCUUGCUUUUAUUUUGGACCUAGUUGGCGAUUAUCCUCUGUCUCCAGAAGAGACCACAUCUUGCAUCUGUGAGGUUCACCUUCCAUAAAGGAUUUAGGAAAGAAAUUAAAGAGACGAUGUUCUUAUUAUGAGCCUCAAAUCGGAGGAAGAUGGUAUUUGGGGAGAAGUAGGACAUGACAAACAGACAGUUUGAACAAAGGAUUAUUUAACAAGGACACUUCUGUCUCUGCAGUAAGUCACCACUCAGAGGGAAACCAAUUUGGACAAUUUCAUGAGAAGUUGGCUACCCAGCUGUCAGUCUCCCAAAGGCCUCGCAGAGAUUGUUUUUAGUCAGUCUGGAUCCUCAGAAGAAUUGGUAUGGAAUUAGAAGACAAUGAUCUGCCCUAACCAAAGACCUGAGAAACAUGUGGAGUCUAGUGUAAAUUUAUUCACAAAAUGUCAAAAUUAUUCUAGGAGCUAUAGAUGAAAGUGACAGAGGCGCAGAAGAAAAACAGGUAUUUUAAAUUCACAGCUUGGACAAGGGAAAGGGAGAUGUUUUUUUUCCUAUUCAAUCUAAUUUUAUGCAUUCAAAUGGGAAAAAGGAUAAUUAGAAGUUAGAAAUUUUUGUUGCAAGAAGAGAGCUCUAAACACUGAAGCCAAAACCGGCCCUCCCCUUAGGGAGUAAAUAAACCUUGAUUUCUAUUGGUAAUGAGUGAUACCAUCUCUUCCAAACCAUGAGGGGAAAUGGUGAAUCCUGAUUCUAUCCUGAGGUAAAAAAGUAACAGUAUUCAUAAUGUGAUGUUUUUGAAAGUUCCAUUGUUGUUAUGUAUGCUUAGUAAUGUUAAGCUAGUUUUAAAAUCUCAGACAAGGUAUGGGAGGUAGGUAUUAUAUCUUCAUUUUAGAAAAGGUGAUGAGUAACCUCAUAGUGGCUAAUAUUUAUUGUGCAUUUAUGUCAUGUGCCAGGGCAUGAUGUGGAACACUUUAUUUUAUUUGAUUGUUACAAUGAAUCCCAUGAGACGGGGAAUAUCCUCUUCAUUUUACAGAUGUGACAGCUGAGCCUUAGAGAUCAAACAGAUGACUUGCCAGUCUCACUGAGCCAGUAAGUAAUGGGGUAUGGCUUGACUCCUAGUCAGUUGAGCCCCAAAUUCAUGACUUUUGCCAUUAUAUACACAGAAACAAGACAAGAUCUGAAAUUAUAGCCUGGCUCUUGAAACAGUAAAGGAAUUGUGUAUGGUUACAGAUGUCCUAAUUAACAUGGUAUUCUGAAAAGAGUUAACAGAUGUAUAUAUGGCCAAUGUAUAAAUUACAAUGUAUCAAAAUGCUCUCUUAACAAGGCAGCCAUAGAAAAUAAAGCAGAAUUCAAUCUUUAAUGAU